UAUUUCUUUUUCUUUGUUUAGAUAGAUAGUUACUUUUAUUUAUCCCAAGCUCGGAAAUUCCGAUGUAACAGCAGCACGUUUCACACAGCACACUUUCAAAAAAUAUAUGCAAUAUUUACAAAAACAAAUGUAAAAUAAAAAUACACGAAUUACAAAAAUGAUGUUUUCAUUUAGAUUAAACAGAGUCCAGGGUCUUUUUCUGUCAGACAGACGUUCUCCAUCUUAUUUAUAAGAGAAAAAGAGGCGACAUCUGCUCAGCCGUAUUAAUGUGUGAAAUCCACACAGUUCAAACAGCCUGAGGUCAAAUCAGUCAGAGUGAACAAAACCCAUAAUUUACUGAAGAACUACUCAACUGGGGCUGCACGGUGAUGUAGUGGUCAGCACUUUCACCUCACAGCAAGAAGGUUCUGGGUUUGAGUCCCGGUUCAAACCAACCAGGGCCUUUCUGUGUGGAGUUUGCAUGUUCUCCCCGUGUCUGCGUGGGAUCUCUCCGGGUUCUCCGGCUUCCUCCCACAGUCCAGAGACAUGCAGAAUGGAGUUAGGUUCAUUGGAGACUCUAAAUUGACUGUAGGUGUGAAUGUGAGAGUGAAUGGUUGUUUGUCUCUGUAUGUGGCCCUGUGAUAGGCUGGCGACCUGUCCAGGGUGAACCCCGCCUCUCGCCCAAUGUCAGCUGGGAUUGGCUCCAGCCCCAUGACCCUUAAAUGGAUAAAGGGGAAGACGAUGGACAACUCAACUGCUUUAAUUCACAAACUUAACGCCUCUUCUGGGUGACGUCACAAACCCCUGUCUCUGUAAUUCAACACAAAACCAACCACUAGGUGGCACCAGAGGCCCGGAAAUGCUCAGCAUCACUGCCUCUCCACAGCCUCCCUGGUCACACGCCGACUUCUGCUGCACAUGCGGGGGUUUUGCUGAGGCAGAGGAAAGUACUGGAGUUUUUAAGGGCACGGCAGAGUGAGUGAGGACUGAGCCAGUCGCAGCAGCUGCCCUGGAGAUGUCUCAGAUGAUAAUCAUCCGCACUCAUGUUGUUGACUCAGACUUUCGGGGCUUGGCAGGUGAUUUGUGCAACCACAAGCCCAUUCACAGAGUAAACAGCGCAUGAUGCCACGUAAGUUCAUAUUUCUUCACAAAGAAAAACAUACAUAAGCACAGUAUAUACUCCAAAUCGGUGUGUGCCUUGUUUUCCAUCGUAAGUGACAUUGCAAAGAAAGA
rnacentral:lncRNA from 1 species